AAAAAUGGCAAAGCCGCUGAAAGGCGGUGACGCAAAGCUGAGUGUCUACAGCAGAAAUAUCUGCCAUGAUCGACUGGCUGCA
rnacentral:ncRNA from 1 species